rfam:Xenopus tropicalis strain Nigerian Chr09_contig_99, whole genome shotgun sequence.
ACAAAGGCUCUUUUCAGAGCCGCCCAAAACUUCUCAAAAGUGUUUG